rnacentral:rRNA from 1 species
GAAUUGACGGGGACCCGCACAAGCAGCGGAGCAUGUGGUUUAAUUCGAAGCAACGCGAAGAACCUUACCAAGGCUUGACAUCCUCUGACAGCCAUAGAAAUAUGGAUUCCCUUCGGGGCAGAGAGACAGGUGGUGCAUGGUUGUCGUCAGCUCGUGUCGUGAGAUGUUGGGUUAAGUCCCGCAACGAGCGCAACCCUUAUCAUUAGUUGCCAGCACGUAAGGUGGGAACUCUAAUGAGACUGCCGGGGAUAACUCGGAGGAAGGUGGGGACGACGUCAAAUCAUCAUGCCCCUUAUGUCUUGGGCUACACACGUGCUACAAUGGCCGGUACAAAGGGCUGCGAAGCCGUAAGGUGGAGCGAAUCCCAUAAAGCCGGUCUCAGUUCGGAUCGUGGGCUGCAACCCGCCCACGUGAAGCCGGAGUUGCUAGUAAUCGCGAAUCAGCAUGUCGCGGUGAAUGCGUUCCCGGGUCUUGUACACACCGCCCGUCACACCAUGGGAGUUGGGAGCGCCCGAAGCCAGUGAGCUAACCAGCAAUGGAGGCAGCUGUCGAAGGUGAGACCAAUGAC